UAUACCUUUGUAGAUUCCUCUUUGCAUAAGCAAAGGCUAAUCACCCAAAGAGAGGGCCUUCAUUCCUCGCAUCUUAAAUCUAUAGAUUUGGAUGGAUGAAUAGGUUUCUCUAAGUUCCCAAAAUAGGGAACCUCUAAGUCUCUUCACCAAGGAGAGAUUGGAGAAGAAAUGAGUGACCUUGGAGUAGUGGGAUUGCAAGAUGCACCCUCAAGGUGGCCGGCCUCUUUAGAGAGAAAUGGAGAGAC
rnacentral:lncRNA from 1 species